AUUGAACGCUGGCGGCAGGCCUAACACAUGCAAGUCGAACGGUAACAGGGAUCAGCUUGCUGAUUCGCUGACGAGUGGCGGACGGGUGAGUAAUGUCUGGGAAACUGCCUGAUGGAGGGGGAUAACUACUGGAAACGGUAGCUAAUACCGCAUAACGUCGCAAGCCCAAAGAGGGGGACCUUCGGGCCUCUUGCCAUCGGAUGUGCCCAGAUGGGAUUAGCUAGUAGGUGGGGUUACGGCUCACCUAGGCGACGAUCCCUAGCUGGUCUGAGAGGAUGACCAGCCACACUGGAACUGAGACACGGUCCAGACUCCUACGGGAGGCAGCAGUGGGGAAUAUUGCACAGUGGGCGGAAGCCUGAUGCAGCCAUGCCGCGUGUGUGAAGAAGGCCUUCGGGUUGUAAAGUACUUUCAGCGGGGAGGAAGGGAGUAAAGUUAAUACCUUGGCUCAUUGACGUUACCCGCAGAAGAAGCACCGGCUAACUCCGUG
rnacentral:rRNA from 1 species